rnacentral:rRNA from 1 species
UACCUGCGGAGGGAUCAUUACCGAGUUUUCAACUCCCAAACCCUUAUGUGAACCUACCUAUCGUUGCUUCGGCGGACUCGCCCCAGCCGGACGCGGACUGGACCAGCGGCCGCCGGGGACCAUCAAACUCUUGUAUUAUCAGCAUCUUCUGAAUACGCCGCAAGGCAAAACAAAUAAAUUAAAACUUUCAACAACGGAUCUCUUGGCUCUGGCAUCGAUGAAGAACGCAGCGAAAUGCGAUAAGUAAUGUGAAUUGCAGAAUCCAGUGAAUCAUCGAAUCUUUGAACGCACAUUGCGCCCGCCAGCAUUCUGGCGGGCAUGCCUGUUCGAGCGUCAUUUCAACCCUCGACCUCCCUUUGGGGAAGUCGGCGUUGGGGACCGGCAGCACACCGCCGGCCCUGAAAUGGAGUGGCGGCCCGUCCGCGGCGACCUCUGCGUAGUAAACCAACUCGCACCGGAACCCCGACGUGGCCACGCCGUAAAACACCCAACUUCUGAACGUUGACCUCGAAUCAGGUAGGACUACCCGCUGAACUUAAGCAUAUCAAA